UACGAGGGGGGCAAAUGUUGUUCGGAAUCACUGGGCGUAAAGGGCGCGUAGGCGGGUUCUUAAGUUAGGUGUUUAAUCCCGGGGCCCAACCCCGGACCGGCACUUAAAACUGGGAAUCUUGAAUAGUGGAGAGGUCAGUGGAAUUGGGGGUGUAGCGGUGGAAUGCGUAGAGAUCCCCAAGAACACCAGUUGCGAAGGCGGCUGACUGGACACAUAUUGACGCUGAGGCUCGAAAGCAUGGGGAGCAAACAGG
rnacentral:rRNA from 1 species